AUGCUUAAGGCAACACGCAUACUAAAUUUGCAGUAAUACAGAGAAGAUUAGUUUGGCCCCUGUGCAAGGAUGACAUGAAAGGCCAACAAGGGCAACUAAAACAU